rnacentral:rRNA from 1 species
UACGUAGGAUGCAAGCGUUGUCCGGAAUUAUUGGGCGUAAAGAGCGCGCAGGCGGUCUAUCAAGUCAGAUGUGAAAUAUCCCGGCUUAACCGGGAGGGGUCAUUUGAAACUGGUAGACUAGAGUACAGCAGAGGAUAGUGGAAUUCCCGGUGUAGUGGUGAAAUGCGUAGAUAUCGGGAGGAACACCAGUGGCGAAGGCGGGUCUCUGGGCCGAUACUGACGCUGAGGAGCGAAAGCGUGGGGAGCGAACAGG